CCAUAUCAGGUUGAAACAUUGGUUCCCCUAUGAUCACAGAUGUUAAGCAACGUCGAGCUUGGUCAGUACUUUGAUGGGUGACCGCUUGGGAAUACCAGAUUCUGUCA